rnacentral:rRNA from 1 species
AUUGAACGCUGGCGGCAGGCCUAACACAUGCAAGUCGAGCGGAUGAAGGGAGCUUGCUCCUGGAUUCAGCGGCGGACGGGUGAGUCAUGCCUAGGAAUCUGCCUGGUAGUGGGGGAUAACGUCCGGAAACGGGCGCUUAUACCGCAUACGUCCUGUGGGAGAAAGUGGGGGAUCUUCGGACCUCUCGCUAUCAGAUGAGCCUAGGUCGGAUUAGCUAGUUGGUGGGGUAAAGGCCUACCAAGGCGGCGAUCCGUAACUGGUCUGAGAGGAUGAUCAGUCACACGGGAACUGAGACACGGUCCAGACUCCUACGGGAGGCAGCAGUGGGGAAUAUUGGACAAUGGGCGAAAGCCUGAUCCAGCCAUGCCGCGUGUGUGAAGAAGGUCUUCGGAUUGUAAAGCACUUUAAGUUGGGAGGAAGUGCAGUAAGUUAAUACCUUGCUGUUUUGACGGUACCAACAGAAUAAGCACCGGCUAACUUCGUG